UUUCUCUGGUGAUCUCUGGAGG
rnacentral:misc_RNA from 1 species